CGCCGUCUCCCUCUGCAGCUGAAGAAGAAGCCCAAGAUCAUGCAGCAGCAUCUUGAUUAUUGUUUCCCUGGUUUAUGGCUAUCCAAGAUAACUCCUCGAUCCUACAAAGCCAAUGAAUAAGACAUGUGUUCUUAUAGUCCGUAUACAUUGUGAAGGUUGUAAGGAUAGGUCAGGAAGAAGGUGCAGAAGGUUCAAGAAGGAAAAUGUUUGUCUGGCAAACUCUAUAUCUGAAAUGCAUAAAUUUGGAGCAAUCUAUAAUAUCAAAUGGUUCUCAUACUUUGGCACAUGAAUCCAAUGAUUUGGGUAAAAAAGAUAAAAAGAAGAAAGGAACAAAAAGAGGAAGGCACUUUGAUAGAGAUUCUCGAGCUACUAAUCCAGAGGUUCGUUUGGAGUCUCUAACUAGGCAAUAUGAAUGAAGUCUCUAAUACUCUAACUUUAUUUUUGUCCUGAUUUGAUAAUGUUGUUUGUGCAUGUCUCAAUUUGGUGUGAUCUCACUGUAGUUGAAGACAGCUGUAUUUGUUCACCUCUUUUCGG